UUUCUUUAUCCCAAGCCCAACACGAGCCGCAAGGUAACCGCCUAACCCGUUCCCCCUUCCAGAGAGUGCCCGGCCGGCCGCUCCGUCUCCUCUUCUCUCCUGGCCGUUCCGCCGCGCUUGCUCCUCCCGGGGCCCGUGCCACCGCCCGCCGGAGCCGGAACAGCCUGCGGCCGCGCCACCGCGACGCGGUGUUCGGCUGUGCGACGCAAUGCCAGCCAGGGAUGGCCUGGAGGAAGGGAUCAAGCCGCGCCUUCCUCCUUCCUUGUGAGGCGGUGUGCUCAGGGUGUUCGGCGAAAUGGUCGAGUGCCUUGAACUGGUCGACGGCAGCCGUGGCAGUCGAAGAGCUCGUGGGGACGGGCGCAUUGGGAAGGCGCCGGAGGGCCAUGCCGCACCAGCGCGUGGCAAUGAUGAUUGACAUUGAUGCAUCAUGCAUAAAUUCACUCGACGUGACAUCACAUCUCUUACCAGCUGCCCUAUGAGGCCAUGAUCGGAUCUGUUUGGUGAAAGAGGAAAGGGAUAUCUCCAUCAUCCGGAGAGAGUUUGCAAAUAAUUUUGUAACCAAUCAUCGGCGUCGCGGUCAUGGUGUGCACAUGCUUUGGGCAACCGCAAAGCUCAACUGGGGUAGUUGACCUAAGGGCCAAGGCGUUUACUUUCUGUGUAUCAAGCGUGCGUUUGGGGCUUAUCUGCUCCAAUCUCCAAUCGUUGCAAGCUGCCAUAUGAUUGUUGACCAUGGAGGCAUAAGGAAUUAUGGAUUAUCAACUAGAACUAUGCCCGCGUUCGGCUCCCCCGUAUGACACCCUGGAUACCACCGUCUGGAUUUCAUUUCAAAAGUGCUGGUAGUCGGCUGGCUGAUCACUUGCAUUGUGACACAAGGGAGCCUGAUUCUUGUGCAGAUAUGUGUUCCCAUCUUUUUGCUCUUGUGUAGGUUUAUGUAGGUUUAUAUGCUAAAAUUUAAAAUUUUAACUUUAAAUUUAGA